rnacentral:rRNA from 1 species
GAUGAACGCUGGCGGCGUGCCUAAUACAUGCAAGUCGAGCGAACAGACGAGGAGCUUGCUCCUCUGACGUUAGCGGCGGACGGGUGAGUAACACGUUGAUAACCUACCUAUAAGACUGGGAUAACUUCGGGAAACCGGAGCUAAUACCGGAUAAUAUAUUGAACCGCAUGGUUCAAUAGUGAAAGACGGUUUUGCUGUCACUUAUAGAUGGAUCCGCGCCGCAUUAGCUAGUUGGUAAGGUAACGGCUUACCAAGGCAACGAUGCGUAGCCGACCUGAGAGGGUGAUCGGCCACACUGGAACUGAGACACGGUCCAGACUCCUACGGGAGGCAGCAGUAGGGAAUCUUCCGCAAUGGGCGAAAGCCUGACGGAGCAACGCCGCGUGAGUGAUGAAGGUCUUCGGAUCGUAAAACUCUGUUAUUAGGGAAGAACAAAUGUGUAAGUAACUAUGCACGCCUUGACGGUACCUAAUCAGAAAGCCACGGCUAACUACGUG